rnacentral:rRNA from 1 species
GACAGAGGUGGCUAGCGUUGUUCGGAUUUAUUGGGCGUAAAGCGAACGCAGGUGGUUUGGUAAGUCAGGGGUGAAAGUCCGCAGCUUAACUGCGGGACUGCCUCUGAUACUGCCUUUCUUGAGUGCAUGAGGGGGAAGCGGAAUUCCGAGUGUAGAGGUGAAAUUCGUAGAUAUUCGGAGGAACACCGGUGGCGAAGGCGGCUUCCUGGCAUGUAACUGACACUCAUGUUCGAAAGCGUGGGUAGCAAACAGG